rnacentral:ncRNA from 1 species
CCGCAUGGCAAGGCGUAGCGAGCCACCAUUAGCGAGUCUUGGGUUCUGACUGGUAACAGUCAGGGCUAAGCGUAGACAGUUAGGGAGCAGGGUUGUAAUGCUAUAGAGCUCCGAAAUUUUACAAAGUCCCGAAGGCCGACGCAGUUUAUCCAUGCGGAAGGCAACAUCAUGGCAGACGUUAAGGAUUCAGGAGCGAGUCUGUUGUGGCUUCGGCGGAGUCUGAGGGC